UGAAGAACUUAUUGUACUUGUUUUUUGCUGGCUCAACAGCGAUACUUGUGUGGAAAUCGUCAUAGUGAAUUGAGAGUUUGUUAACUCAGUUAAAAAUGUUACCUUACACACAUAGAUUAUCUCAAUAUGAUAGUCGACAUUUGAUAAGCGAUUAUUUUGUCUUCAUUGGUGUUCAGAGUACAUGUAUAUAUUUAUUUCAUUCCUUUGGCCAUUUUACAUGUAUGAAUUCAAUACCAACAUUUCUCAAAAACGUGAGGUUUAUGUACAUAUAGUAAACUAAUUCCUUCAGAAAAAGGUUAGCUAAUCAAGUGGUAACAUAAUAUUAUUACAUCAUUGACAUAUACUGUAUCAAAUUUCAUAGAAAUCGAAAAUUAAAGGUCAUAGACUACAGUGUGUUCAGUUUUUUAUUUGCAUUGAAAUCGAGAGAUGAAAUUACAAAGUGAUAUUUUUUUGCCACUAUUGCACAGAAAAAGCU